rnacentral:lncRNA from 1 species
GGGGUAUGGCUGAGGGGAAUCUAGAACACAGGCAGAGGAGGGAGAGUAUAAAUAUCAACUAACGCUCAGCACCAAAUGCAGAAGUGGUGAACGCUGCUUGGUCUACCAUCCUCUUGCUAUGUGGCAUUGGUCAGAAUUUAGUCAUGUGGACAUACCAAACUGCAAAUGAGGCUGGGAAAUGAAUUGUAGCUGCAUGCCCAGGAGGACGGAGGAAUAAUGAUCAAGUCUAAGUUGCUUUUUUUCUGCCUUUCCCUAUUUCAUUCUCUUCAACUCGGAGUGAUUUCAUUAGUUCUGCCUGCAUUUCAUUGGACAGAGGUGAGUCAUAUUACCAUAUCUAAUUAUUAAUCUAAGACAGGAUGAGAAAGGAAGUC